AAUACAUAAUGUAUCACAAAGAUGCAUGAUGUAUUUGGUGUAAAACUUCAAAACAUACUUGCCAAACCAUCAGUGCAGCACCGCCAUUUCUUUAGCUUCGUGAGUAUUACACUUCACCUACUCACCUCUGGUCUACCCACACUCCGCCUGGGUUGUUCGCAAACUUCUUGGGUGAAUCCUACAUCAACAGUUCACCUUGCUGCUUCCAGCGAAUGAGACAGAAAGUUGUAUUCCUA